rnacentral:tRNA from 1 species
GUAGACGAUCGGCCUGAUCUUCGGAUCUCCCCGAUAUGAACCUUCCCGUGCUUUUUAGAACAUAGAUGGCACCAGUCAGGUGACCAUCGAAACGCAAUACGCCACGGAAAUGCUUCGGCAUUCGGAUGGUAUGGCGAGCUUUCGCCGUCCACGUUUCUCUUUCUUCAAGAAGACAAAAAACCGCGUCGACCGGUUCCCCGAAUGGGCCCGUAGCUCAGUUGGUUAGAGCACACGCUUGAUAAGCGUGGGGUCGGAAGUUCAAGUCUUCCCGGGCCCACCAUUUGCAUAUGCGAAUGAGGGUUGAGGGAUGAUGGAAUGUCAGGCGAAGCGGAAGUUGCCGAACCUGGGCUUGUCCCGGGCGAUCGAGCUGAUGGGGCUGUAGCUCAGCUGGGAGAGCACCUGCUUUGCAAGCAGGGGGUCAGCGGUUCGAUCCCGCUCAGCUCCACCAAAUCGAUUGGUGUUGAGACUGAAUGGUUGAGAUCGGCAUUUGUCUUUUGAAGAAAUAAAAGUUUGCAUCGGUUUUGACCGAUGCCUGUUCUGUAUACAUUGUGAAGAGAAGAUUGAUCUGGAGGCUUCCAGGUGUUGUGGGUUUUUGCCCAUGAUGUCCGAGCCCAGUUCUUGUGAAACCAUGGAUGGCCUAGCCGGCCGGAUAUGGUGGAGGGACUGGAGGUAGGAAGGAAGCUUGUCGCUCUGGAUCGUCAGCGUAAACCGCGUAGCGGUUUAUCGCGUGUUGUUCGUUGUCCGCAAGGACUUCGUCUGACGGACGAUCGGAUUACCGUUGCCUGACCGCGCGGUAUCGGAUCCAAUCUCGAGAAGCUGGUCUUAAGACAGGCUGCAAGUGAGCUGCUCGGCGUAGCUCCAAUAAAGCAGACCUGUCGAACACGUCGAUGGCAUUGUUGGAUUGACUGGGUUGUAAAAGGUAACCCGGUCUGUUGCCGUUUCUUUGAAACGGGCAACGAGAUGAUGAGCAUUGGCAAUGAGAACGAUUAAGUGUCGUAAGGGCAUUUGGUGGAUGCCUUGGCAUGCACAGGCGAUGAAGGACGUGAUACGCUGCGAAAAGCCGUG